rnacentral:misc_RNA from 1 species
AAGUCGUAACAAGGUCUCCGUAGGUGAACCUGCGGAAGGAUCAUUAAAAGUAUAUAGUUAUACAUUCUGUGUAUCGACUAAAUAUACCCAUUCUGAGUACCUUGCCUGUUGCUUCCAUGGAGCCUGACACAUGACACAUGUCACUCCGGGGAUUUACAUCCCGAGGGAGCCUCCGUGGAAGGUAAUCAAUUAACUCUUGAAUCCAAUGUCAUCUGUCUGAUAAUGUUUAUAACAAAUGUUAAAACUUUCAACAACGGAUCUCUUGGUUCUC